rnacentral:RNase_P_RNA from 1 species
AGUCUGCCGGUCUGUCGCUGGUCCCAGAUGAGGGGCAAGAGGAAAGUCCGGGCAACGCAGAGCAAUCCGCUUCCUAACGGGAAGUAGUCCGUGAGGGCUAGUCAGUGCAGAAGAAAACAACCGCCUCCGCAAGGGGGUAAGGGUGAGAAGGCGGGGUAAGAGCCCACCAGGCGCAUGGCGACAUGCGUGCUGUGCACUCCGGAUGUUGAAAGUUCAUGUAUACCGGCGCUUGAGGGCUGCUCGUCCGAGCUGGAGGGUGGAACGAUAGAGACCAUCGGUGACGGUGGCCGUAGAUAAAUGGCAGACUACUACAGAACCCGGCUUACAGGCGGACUCC